rnacentral:rRNA from 1 species
GACAGAGGUGGCUAGCGUUGUUCGGAUUCAUUGGGUGUAAAGGGUGCGUAGGCGGUUUAGAAAGUCAUAUGUGAAAGCCCACAGCUCAACUGUGGAAAUGCAUCUGAAACUUCUAGACUAGAGUGCGAGAGAGGUGAAGGGAAUUCCCGGUGUAAGGGUGAAAUCUGCAGAGAUCGGGAGGAACACCAGUAGCGAAGGCGCUUCACUGGCUCGCAACUGACGCUGAGUGCACGAAGGCGUGGGGAGCAAACGGG